rnacentral:rRNA from 1 species
GAUGAACGCUGGCGGCGUGCUUAACACAUGCAAGUCGAACGGGAUCCCAGGAGCUUGCUCCUGGGUGAGAGUGGCGAACGGGUGAGUAAUGCGUGACCGACCUGCCCCAUACACCGGAAUAGCUCCUGGAAACGGGUGGUAAUGCCGGAUGCUCCGACAUGACGCAUGUCGUGUCGGGAAAGAUUCAUCGGUAUGGGAUGGGGUCGCGUCCUAUCAGCUUGAUGGCGGGGUAACGGCCCACCAUGGCUUCGACGGGUAGCCGGCCUGAGAGGGCGACCGGCCACAUUGGGACUGAGAUACGGCCCAGACUCCUACGGGAGGCAGCAGUGGGGAAUAUUGCACAAUGGGCGCAAGCCUGAUGCAGCGACGCCGCGUGCGGGAUGACGGCCUUCGGGUUGUAAACCGCUUUUGACUGGGAGCAAGC